GACAGACCGCCGAAUGGACAGAGUUUUCUCUGUACCGCGGACAGAGUCUCCCCUGUACGUCCAAGGCGUCACAAUCAAACAAUGCGCGAGGUUCCAAUCAGGAACAGCAUUCAAACAAGAUUGCAUAAGGAAGGUAUCAAAAACAUACAUGCAAUUAAGUUUUUAUAAUUAUUCAACUCACAUACAUUUUACAUCACAUAUUACACUUUUCAUUCUUAUUAACUUCCAAAUACAAUCCGAUUUAACAUAAUUAUUACAGCUUUAUUCUUUUCUUUUCUUUUACAUUCCUAAGUAGUCGACUCA
rnacentral:lncRNA from 1 species